rnacentral:lncRNA from 1 species
UGGUUUUGACAAAUUCACAUGGAUAGGAACUUAUACACCACAAAAUCUAAGUGUCAUAAGAUUACCUCCUUCAUGAAAAUGACUGUGAGGAAAUGCUUUCACUAAGAGAGAUUUUAAGAAGAUAGCAAUUGUGGAAAUUGUAUUCUCAAAUUCGAUUAUGGUUACGGCAUCCCUUUCCAUAGUUCGAAUUAUGAGAUUUGACAAUUAGUCUGAACAUUUGGGACUUAGUGACAUAAGUUCUGAAUUUGUCUAGACACACAUAUGAGCUUUCUAAGGCAAAGGUGUAUGAUUUUAAGAAGCUUUGAUAAAGGCUUAUCAAAGCAUUAGGUAUUAGAAAUAUGAACUUAAGGAAUUCAAUAAGCAUUGUUCUCUGGAAGUUUAAUUGUUUUCUGAAUACAUGUCAAAGCUAGUGGGAGCAUAAGUGUUAUGCUGGUAAGAAAAUAAUCAUCAUGUUAGUGGGAGCAUGAUUAUUAUGGUAAAGUAUUGCGAGUUAGCAAUAUUAAUUAUAGAAAACAAAGAUUCACUUUGCAAAGUUGUAAUGUUUGAAAAGUUGUUUUGCUAUAAUUAAGGGAGAGAAUAUUAUACUUCAUUUCAAAAUUCUAAAGCUUAGAUCGAGAAAUGUUAAUAAAUUUAGUCAAGGAUAUAUAGUGCAUUCUCAAAUUCGAUUAUGAUCACGGCAUCCCUCUUCAUAGAUCGAAUUGUGGGAACAGGACACAUAAAAUAUUAUGGCAGAAGGAUGAUAAAGUAUCACUUCUUUAUGUGAGACAUUAUGCAUCAUGUCCAAUACGCUUCGGGUAUAGGAUCGAUUGCAUAUGCUGUAAUAUUUUACCAUUCUAAAAUUUUCCAAAUGCCUAGGGCAUUAAGAGGGAAAAAGGAACUAGAAUCGGUUUUGACUAAAAUAAUUAAACAACUAUCAAAGGAAAAUCUGAGGUUCACUGAGGAUUUGUCGUUUGUGAGUAGUUAGAAGUAUAGUACUGAAUGGGCUAUAUUGACAUUAUUAUGAAUAGAUAAGAUUCUAUUAAGAAUAAGCUGUCAUAUGGCAAAUAUGGAAAUGUCUCCAUAUUGGGAGUUGGAUGUUGAGAGUCUGUGUCUAGAUUAGAAACUUUUAUGCAAGAAGGAUAUUCAAAGGAAUGUACUUUGAAUGUGAGACUUCACGUCUAUGGAAUUAUCUUGUAACAAUUUCCGAUAGAGUACUUUGUAAUUUCAUUGGCCAAAGUCUUGGUGACUUUUGUGCUAUGACUUUGCGAAAGGAUCGUUGCAUAAAAUGUUAGAAUCUAGCAUAUUCUAGUAGUUGCAAGAACCUUGUGUUCUAACACUAAUAAUAGGGAUUGGGAAUUGUGAAAUGAGCAUCAUUGGAAAGGUUUUUCAAUUGAUUUAUUUCACAAAGUAUGGACCAUAGGAAACCAAAGUGUGCAUGCUUGGAGCAUGGGACAAUUGUGGUUAUAAUUCAAGUAAUAAGUUGAUUUUCUGAAACUAUAAGCAAUGAAUAAUGAGUAAUCAAUAUGGUGUUUAAAUAAAAGUGUUUUUAUUUACGCUCAAAAGCUUUGGGGCCAUAUAGGAUUAAUAUUAUUAUUGCGUUUCACUUUGCAUGUUUUGACUUCCCGAAUAAUAAGAUUAUUCAAACUCCACAGUCGCUCGUACUUUUGGAAGUAAGUAGUGAAUCAAGACUGUCAUGAACUGGAUUGUAGAUUGUCUAAGGAUAGACAUGGCAAUAGAUUUGCUGCAACGUUCAUGAGUACUCAGAAAUUGAGAUUUGAGUAUUGGAUAAACCCACGCUCAGAGUAUUACUUCAUGGAAUUCAUCACGAGUAAUACUGAGACGAUAAUAUCUAUGAUCUUGAAACAGAGAUAUAUGAGUUGUAAUUUGCAAGUCGGCUAUACAUUGGUGAUAUGAAAACGCAUCAGUAACUUGGUGUUAUAAAACGUAUUGUCAUGUAUGGUUUGAUGAGUAAAAGAUACAAGCAUAUGAGUCAAUGUUUAUUCGUUCCUUUUGCCCUAACGGGAAAAGCGAUAUCUGUGGGCCCCUCGAUGAUUUGGUGUUGACUUAUGUGCUGGGCCCAGCCAGGACUAAAUUGAUGUGUUCAAUUAGAAGUCCUACAUCAUCACAAAUCAGGAAUCGGGAAACAUAGAUUCUGGACAAAGAGGUUGAUUGCAUUCCAUGUCUUUUGUCUAGGGAUAUCUAGCAGAACGAAGGAUUAUAUGAUCACUUAUCUUAGGACACGUAACUGACUGGGUCAGAGUUCGGCAGCAGCUUUUUGGAAGCUACAAUUUGCUGGUCAAAUUUAGAAGGCAUACUAGCAAUUAUAGUUACAGACUUAUCCAAGUGGGAGACUGUUGGAUUAGGUGUCUAAGCCCAUAACUAUAAUUGGUAUGUACUUGAAUUGAUAGCAGCACAGUCCUUUUGGGUUGCCCUCAAACCUAGCAACCGGACAAGGAAAUUAUGAAAGGAGAGAUAUUAAUUUAUUAUAAGAUUAAUAAAUUAAUAUAAAUGAAUUUAUUAAUAUGUUAAAAGAUUAAUAUAUUAAUAAGAAAUCAUUUUGUUUAAUUAAUUGUUAGCCAGAAAUUAAUUAGAAUUAAUUUUGGGGUUAAAAGAAUUAAUUAUAAAGUGCAGGGACUAGUUUGCAAUUAUCUAAUAGUUGAGUGGAAGGCUCUAGAACCCCCUUGGAUAAGGGUGGACGAAAUCUUUAGGGGAAACCCUAAUAAUUUCGUCCAUAGGGGCUUGGAUAAGGCCCUUGGGUUUGCUUAGGCCCUAAGCAAAGGAUAACUAGGGUUUCCCCUAAACCCUAGAUCCCUCAGCUAUAUAAGGAGCCUCCUGGUUCAUGUUUUGGUCACUCUUUUCUUUUGAAGAAACCCUAAGGGCCGAAAUUUUGCAUACUCCCUCUCCCCUCUCUCCUCUACUUUCCUUCUUGCUAGUUUGGGUGUGAUUCCAUUAGAGGCAUUACACUUGUGGUGCUAAGCUUCCAAGAAGAUCAAGAUCAAGAUCAAGGGAAUUAUCAAUUGUUUACUAUAACAAUUGAAAGGUAUGUAAUUACUAAACCCUAGUUUGUAAAUUUCGAUUAUAGCCUCUCUCCUCUAGGGUUCUUGUUUUGCAAUUCAAAGUUGUAUGUUCAAUAGAUAAAACAUAGAUCCAAAGUAGGUUGCAUGUGAACUUAGGAAUUGUUUUCUAGUUUAUUUGUUUUACCUAAAACCCAUCAGUGGUAUCAGAGCCAUUGUUUGUUUUAAAUUGAAUUGUUAUAAUUGUUGAAUUGCAAAUUAGGGUUUAUAGCUAUUAAACCCUAAAGGCCAUUUUUUUGAUUUUUAGGGUUGUGGAUCAAAGGGUUUUUGAAAACCCUAGCCUCCAAAGAACCCUAAUCGAAAUUAGGGUUAGGGUUUUGAAAACCCUAGCCUCCUCCCUUGAAAAUUUCGAAAUAUGCUAUAAAGAUUAGGGUUUCUUUGUUUUGGAUAAUAGUUGCCUUAUUGGAUAAUUGAGAAAAAUAAGGAAAUUAUCCUAUCCCCAUAUUUUCGAAAUCUAGAAGGGAUAUGGAUUAGGAUUAAAUUAAUUGUUUAAUUUAAUUAGAUAAUCCUUACAAGAUUUAAUAAAUUAAUUAAAAGUUAAUUAAUAGAUAAAUAUUAAAUCUAAUUAAUUGGUUUAUUUAAAUUUAAAAUUUAAUAGUUUAAAUUUCGAAAAAAUUUAUAUAAACCCUUGGAGUUUUAAAAUGUUUUUAAAACACACCUUAUAUAUAUUAUAAUUAAAAGUUAAAUAUUAUAUAUGUAUAAGAAUAUGGUCAGUCAAAUCGCUAGUAUGCCUCAUUCACGAAGCUAGUCUAUAAGGGGGUAUAAGGAAACUGCCUAUAAAAUGGUAGUUGAAUGGGUGUCCACUCUCACCCACCGCUUCCUUGAUUAGUGGAGGGUCGUUAGCAGAACGGAUUUGAUAGGACAACUACAUCUCAUUAAAAGUAUAAUGUUAUUAAAGAAAGUACUAGAACAUUAUUUUACAAAAUCCCAACUCUAGUUACUUUAGAAAAAAAUGUGAAAAAGUAUGCUAAUCCAUGAAAUUGCACAUUAUGCUUUAUUGGUCGUUAGUGGAGCGUGUGUGGUUAACCGGCACACUAAAAGGCACUAAUAAAGAGUAGUAAUGGGUAUCUCAUGAUUGUCAUUUUGAUGGAGCGUGUGUGGUUUACCGGCACAUCAAUAGUUAAUGAUAAAGACAAUGAGGUUACCAAGCACAUUUGCAUGGUUAUUCACAUCUUGUUUGUGAUCCUCGGCAUCCCAGUCACAAAUAGAAGAGCAUAAUCCGAGAUUAAAACAUGCCAUUGAAUAGUUUCAAUGUAUCUCAAAAGAUCUAGGAGUUUCCAAUACAUUUAAAACUUAACCUUCUUUUUCGUUUUUCAUGGUGGAAAUUGGUAAAUCGUCAUUUACCUACCUUCAAAUAUUCUGCAAAUUGGAUUACGGCAUCCCUCUUCCAAUUUGUGGAAUAUUGUGUUGGAUCCUAGCCUUAAUAUCUCUUUUGGGUGUUUUAUUAAGGAUUCAAUCAACUAACUUGAUUUCUCCCGUUGUGUAGAUGUCUGAAUCUAACCAUGGUAUUCCCAAAUCCAAAGGAAAAGAUAUUCCUGCUCAAAGUGAAAGUCUGUUCCACAAUGAAGGUGAAAGAUCAAUCCCUGCCAUGUGGACUAGCUUGAUUUCACUUCCUCCACCUCCUCCCGUUGUUCUCCCAAACCCACAAGACCAAAGGAUUGAAAAGUUCAAUAUCACUAAAGCCUUAUUGGCAAUGAAACAUGAAGAUGGUAAACCCGUGUGUGCUCACGUCCUAGGGAUGAAAUCACACAUCGAUAGGUUGAUAAUGUUGGGUGUGACCUUUCCCAAGAAGUUGGUUGCGGACUGGGUUCUUUAGUCACUCCCGGAAUCAUAUAAUAAGUUUAAAAGAGAGUAUUAUAUGAUGGAUCUUGACGCCACCCUCAUUGACAAAACUUACAUGCUUAUUGCUGCUGAAUCAGAAAUGAUUUGGCAAAGCAAUGAAGCAUAUUUGUUUGGUAAAUCAACCAACCAUGCUUUCAAGGACAUUCCAAAAGAACCCACCUGUUUCUGCUGCCAACAGAAGGGGCGUUGGAUACAAAUCUGCCCUGAGAACCUGAAGAGUCCAAGAAAUGGGAGAGUCAAGGAAUAUGGCUCUGCUUCAGGUAAAAUCCACUAUCUAACUCCAUUAAGUUCCUAUUCAUUGAUUCUUAAUACAUAAUGUGAUAAGAUUACAUUUGAAUGUUUUGAAGGAUCAGAGAAAAGAGAGGAAGCUUGAUGAGUCUGAUCACGAAGAAAUGGAUCACCGUCGCAUGGAUUCGAAGAUCAGAUUUUGAGCUUAGAAAGUUAUGAUAGAUUUGUUAGAAUAGAUUGCUAAUAACAUAGUUUUUCAAUUGAUUUUGCAUUGGAAGGGCAUGUUUUCUGCUGCUUUUAUGAAUAAAAUAAAAUUUUUGGUUUGAAUAAUUUUAUAUAUCCUUGCAAUGAUAUCGUUAUGGAAAAUUGAUGUUUGUGUAUCAAUAAUGGAUUUGAUUCUUAAUUAUGUCAUUUGUGGAAAUGUCGAGAAUUUGCCAAAUAAAGGAAGAUUCUCAUCGCCCAAGCUUCAGUUGGACAGAAACUUGGAGUCAUGUAACUUGGUUUCAUGAUGAAUGAGAAACUUCAUAUUUGGAAAUUAGAUUAAUUCUUUGACAAAGUGUCAAGAGAAGGACUAGGAGAUCGAGUACACUAGGUUGUACAUUGAUCAAGUCCACCACGAGAGUGAUAAAGAUGUUCGUCAUGAUUUAGUAAAGUUUAGUGAAUAUGGUUAUGCUUAUAAGAUUAAAUAUAAUUCUGAGUUGAUUGACAAAGUUUAAAUCAAUAGCAUAACGAAUAAGAAGAAUCAAGAAGGCAGAAAGAUAAGAGUUUUCUCCAUUCUAAGAAGAAGGGAGAGUACCUUUUAUUGAGUUUUAUGAUAAGUCUUAAUAAUUAGGAACCAUAUCUCAAUUGAUCCUCUAAGUAAGUCUUAGUGCAUUUGCAUGUCUAAGAAGAUAAAUUGAGAAUUNCUAAAGUUUAGUGAAUAUGGUUAUGCUUAUAAGAUUAAAUAUAAUUCUGAGUUGAUUGAAAGAAUUUCAAUCAAUGGCAGAACGAAUAAGAAGAAUCAAGUAGGCAGAAAGAUAAAAGUAUCUCUAUUCUAAGAAGAAGGGAGAGUAACUUUUAUUGUGUUUUAUGAUAAGUCUUAAUGAUUAGGAACCAUAUCUCAAUUGAUCCUCUAAGUAAGUCUUAGUACAUUUGCAUGUCUAAGAAGAGGAAUCGAGAAUUGUGGAAAUGGUUAAAAUCAAGAAGUCAAUCAUACUUCGUUCCAACAUCAAGUCUUAGAGUUAUACUCCAAGAUUGUGAAUUGAGUGACAAGUCUCAAGAAGGUUUAUAACACUCAUCAAAUGUGGAAUUUGGAAAAGUUUUCUUAUUCUUGCACAUUUAAAAUUUGUAAGUUGUGAUGUCUUGGAUAAGACAAAGACCAACUAGGACAAAUUUUGUGAAGUGUUUUGUCUUGAUAAGAACCACACUAACUCUUGAAUAUUUGUUUUGUCGAGGAAAGUUUCCUGACAAGAGAAUCGUAUAUGUCAAGAGGUCAGUGGGAGUUUUAAUGAUCUUGAAAAAGGUUUCAAGAACUAAUCAAGAAUAAACCUUAUCGAUCAUCACUAGCACACGACUUGAGGUUUAUAGCCUAUCGUGGAUGACAUACUCCUUUUCUAUGCCAUUCCAAUUGAAUUAAUUAUGCAAGUGAGUUCUAUGAGUUCUCAUGUGAAUGCAUAAAGACAUAGCACCUUGAUCAAUGGAAAGUACAUUGAUAAGUAAGGAUGAGUUGAUAAACCACUUGGAAGACAUGGUGGGCACUCGUGUUACCAUGAGGCAAGAAAUCAAGAUUGAGAAAGUUCAGUCCAUAUGAGUUUGGAUUUGUCACAAACUUUGGUUUUGACAAAUUCACAUGGAUAGGAACUUAUACACCACAAAAUCUAAGUGUCAUAAGAUUACCUCCUUCAUGAAAAUGACUGUGAGGAAAUGCUUUCACUAAGAGAGAUUUUAAGAAGAUAGCGAUUGUGGAAAUUGUAUUCUCAAAUUCAAUUAUGGUUACAGCAUCCCUUUCCAUAGUUCGAAUUGUGAGAUUUGGCAAUUAGUCUAACAUUUGAGACUUAUUGAUAUAAGUUCUGAAUCGCUUAGACACACAUAUGAGCUACCUAAAGCAAAGGUGUGUAAGUUUAAGAA